CUGGUGGCGCAGUGGUUGAGAAUCUGCCUGCCAAUGCAGGGGACACGGGUUCGAGCCCUGGUCUGGGAAGAUCCCACAUGCCGCAGAGCAGCUGGGCCCGUGAGCCACAACUACUGAGCCUGCGCGUCUGGAGCCUGUGCUCCGCAGCAAGAGAGGCCCGCGACGGGCUUCCCUGGUGGCGCAGUGCUUAAGAACCCGCCUGCCAAUGCAGGGGACAUGGAUUCGAGCCCUGGUCUGGGAAGAUUCCACAUGCUGCGGAGCAACUAAGCCCGUACACCACAACUACUGAGCCUGCGCUCUAGAGCCUGCGAGCCACAACUACUGAAGCCCACGUGCCUAGAGCCCCUGCUCCGCAACAAGAGAAGCCACCACAAUGGGAGCCCGUGCACCUCAACGAACAGUAGCCCCAGCUUGCCGCAACUAGAGAAAGCCCACGUGCAGGAGCGAAGAGCCAACGCAGCCAAAAAUAAAUAAAUAAAUUAAUUAAUUAAAGAAAAAAAGAACUAAGGGAAUAAGACACAAAAACACAAAGGGAACAGGAGAGACAUGAGGAGUGAGAAGUGACACAGUGUGGAUAUGCAGGGGGCCCUGAGUUUUCAAAAAAAAAAAAAAAUCUUUCCUCAUAGAAAGCUCCAGGCCCAGGUGCCUUCACUUUAUGGAUUCUACCAAGUAUUUAAGGAAUUAAUGUUACCAGUUCUAUACAAGUUCUUUCAGAAAAUAGCAGAGAGGGAGCACCUCCCACCUCAGAGGGAGACCUAAAAGAAUUUACCAAAAAAGCUACCAAAAAGACCCAAAACCAAACAAAAACAAAGCUAAAAACUUGUAGUGAGGUGUAGGGAGUUUAUCAAGGUGACAGGAUACAGUCAGUAUAUUAAAAUCUAUUGUUUCUAUGUCCUAGCAAUGAACAAAUGGAAAUUAAAAUGAAAAUAGACCUCAUCUCAGGUGAUUAAAAAUAAAACGGUGAGAAUUUUCUAACUAGAUUGCCUGGGUAUAAAUCAGAGCCCUAUCAUUUACUAGAUAUGUACUCUUCAAUAAAAUUUAAAUUUUUUCUA